GACUUAAAUGGGGUGGGAAAUGGCCCCAAAAUGGCCCUAAAUGGGGAGAAAUGGCCCCAAAAUGGGCUUAAAUGGGCCCAAAAUGGCCCUAAAUGGGGGGAAUUGACCCCAAAAUGGCCCUAAAAGGGGUUAUAUGGCCCUAAAUGGGGUUAUAUGGCCCCAAAAUGGGCCUAAAUGGGGGGAAAUGGACCCAAAAUGGGCUUAAAUGGUGAGAAAUGGCCCCAAAAUGAACUUAAAGGAGUUAUAUGG
rnacentral:lncRNA from 1 species